GGAUUAGAUACCCUGGUAGUCCACGCUGUAAACUAUGGAUACUGGAUGUUUUGAAGGUUAUGCCCUUUGGAGUGUCGUAGCUAACGCGUUAAGUAUCCCGCCUGGGGAGUACGGUCGCAAGACUAAAACUCAAAGGAAUUGACGGGGGCCCGCACAAGCGGUGGAACAUGUGGUUUAAUUCGACGCAACGCGAAGAACCUUACCCAUACUUGACAUCCUGUGCUACUUUCAGAGAUGAGAGGUUCUUUUCGGAGACACAGAGACAGGUGCUGCAUGGCUGUCGUCAGCUCGUGCCG
rnacentral:rRNA from 1 species